UACGUAGGGGGCAAGCGUUAUCCGGAUUUACUGGGUGUAAAGGGGGCGCAGACGGCGCGGCAAGUCCGGAGUGAAAUCCCAGGGCCCAACCUGUGGCCUGCAUUUGAAACUGUGUUUCUUGAGUACUGGAGAGGCAGACGGAAUUCCUAGUGUAGCGGUGAAAUGCGUAGAUAUUAGGAGGAACACCAGUGGCGAAGGCGGUCUGCUGGACAGCAACUGACGCUGAGGCGCGAAAGCGUGGGGAGCAAACAGG
rnacentral:rRNA from 1 species